rnacentral:rRNA from 1 species
CUACGGGACGCAGCAGUGAGGAAUUUUGCGCAAUGGGGGAAACCCUGACGCAGCAACGCCGCGUGAGUGAUGAAGGCCUUCGGGUCGUAAAACUCUGUCAAGUGGGAAGAACCUAUGUAAGGUUAAUACCCUUAUGUACUGACGGUACCACUGAAGGAAGCACCGGCUAACUCCGUGCCAGCAGCCGCGGUAAUACGGAGGGUGCAAGCGUUAUUCGGAAUUAUUGGGCGUAAAGGGCGCGCAGGCGGGUUUGUAAGUCAGAUGUGAAAGCCCGGGGCUUAACCUCGGAAGUGCAUUUGAUACUGCAAGACUUGAGUAUGGGAGGGGGAAGUGGAAUUCCUGGUGUAGAGGUGAAAUUCGUAGAUAUCAGGAGGAACACCAGUGGCGAAGGCGACUUUCUGGACCAAUACUGACGCUGAGGCGCGAAGGCGUGGGGAGCAAACAGGAUUAGAUACCCUCGUAGUC